rnacentral:rRNA from 1 species
AGUGAACGCUGGCAGUAGGCCUAACACAUGCAAGUCGAACGGCAGCACAGUAAGAGCUUGCUCUUACGGGUGGCGAGUGGCGGACGAGUGAGGAAUACAUCGGAAUCUACUUUUUCGUGGGGGAUAACGUAGGGAAACUUACGCUAAUACCGCAUACGACCUACGGGUGAAAGCAGGGGAUCUUCGGACCUUGCGCGAUUGAAUGAGCCGAUGUCGGAUUAGCUAGUUGGCGGGGUAAAGGCCCACCAAGGCGACGAUCCGUAGCUGGUCUGAGAGGAUGAUCAGCCACACUGGAACUGAGACACGGUCCAGACUCCUACGGGAGGCAGCAGUGGGGAAUAUUGGACAAUGGGCGCAAGCCUGAUCCAGCCAUACCGCGUGGGUGAAGAAGGCCUUCGGGUUGUAAAGCCCUUUUGUUGGGAAAGAAAAGCAGCAGGUUAAUACCCCGCUGUUCUGACGGUACCCAAAGAAUAAGCACCGGCUAACUUCGUG